GAUGAAGAACGUAGCGAAAUGCGAUAAGUAAUGUGAAUUGCAGAAUUCAGUGAAUCAUCGAAUCUUUGAACGCACAUUGCGCCCCCCAGUAUUCUGGCGGGCAUGCCUGUUCGAGCGUCAUUUCAACCAUCAAGCCCUGCUUGUGUUGAGGUCCUGCGGCUGCCCGCAGGCCCUGAAAACCAGUGGCGGGCUCGCUAGUCACACCGAGCGCAGUAGCACAUCUCGCUCAGGGCGUGCGGCGGGCUCCAGCCGUUAAAGCACCCACCUUUCGCAAGGUUGACCUCGGAUCAGGUAGGAAUACCCGCUGAACUUAAGCAUAUCAAUAAGCGGAGGA
rnacentral:misc_RNA from 1 species